rnacentral:rRNA from 1 species
GGCAGCGAAACCGCGAGGUCAAGCAAAUCCCAUAAAGUUGUUCUCAGUUCGGAUUGUAGUCUGCAACUCGACUACAUGAAGCUGGAAUCGCUAGUAAUCGUAGAUCAGCAUGCUACGGUGAAUACGUUCCCGGGUCUUGUACACACCGCCCGUCACACCACGAGAGUUUGUAACACCCGAAGCCGGUGGAGUAACCUUUUAGGAGCUAGCCGUCGAAGGUGGGACAAAUGAUUGGGGUGAAGUCGUAACAAGGUAGCCGUAUCGGAAGGUGCGGCUGGAUCACCUCCUUU